CCGAUCCCAUUCCGAACUCGGUAGUUAAGCCCCACCGCGCGGAUGGUACUGCCAGGGCGACCUGGUGGGAGAGUACGUCGCCGCCGAUC
rnacentral:rRNA from 1 species